rnacentral:rRNA from 1 species
CUGCUAAAGAGGAGGAAGGAAUGGGCAACGGUAGGUCAGCAUGCCCCGAAUUAUCUGGGCUACACGCGGGCUACAAUGGGUGGGACAAUGGGUAUCGACACCGAAAGGUGAAGGCAAUCUCCUAAACCCAUCCGUAGUUCGGAUUGUGGGCUGCAACUCGCCCACAUGAAGCUGGAAUCCGUAGUAAUCGCGUUUCAAAAUAGCGCGGUGAAUAUGUCCCUGCUCCUU